rnacentral:rRNA from 1 species
UACGGGGGGAGCAAGCGUUGUUCGGAUUUACUGGGCGUAAAGGGCGCGUAGGCGGCCAGCACAAGUCAGUUGUGAAAUCUCCGAGCUUAACUCGGAAAGGUCAACUGAUACUGUGCGGCUAGAGUGCGGAAGGGGCAACUGGAACUCUUGGUGUAGCGGUGAAAUGCGUAGAUAUCAAGAGGAACACCUGCGGCGAAGGCGGGUUGCUGGGCCGACACUGACGCUGAGGCGCGAAAGCUAGGGGAGCGAACGGG